rnacentral:rRNA from 1 species
AUUCCAGACUCCUACGGGAGGCAGCAGUGGGGAAUAUUGCACAAUGGGCGAAAGCCUGAUGCAGCGACGCCGCGUGAAGGAUGAAGUAUUUCGGUAUGUAAACUUCUAUCAGCAGGGAAGAAAAUGACGGUACCUGACUAAGAAGCCCCGGCUAACUACGUGCCAGCAGCCGCGGUAAUACGUAGGGGGCAAGCGUUAUCCGGAUUUACUGGGUGUAAAGGGAGCGUAGACGGCGAUGCAAGCCAGAUGUGAAAGCCCGGGGCUCAACCCCGGGACUGCAUUUGGAACUGUGUGGCUGGAGUGUCGGAGAGGCAAGUGGAAUUCCUAGUGUAGCGGUGAAAUGCGUAGAUAUACGGAGGAACACCAGUGGCGAAGGCGGAUUGCUGGACAGUAACUGACGCUGAGGCGCGAAAGCGUGGGGAGCAAACAGGAUUAGAUACCCCAGUAUCC